GUCUACGGCCAUACCACCCUGAACGCGCCGAUCUUGUCUGAUCUCGGAAGCUAAGCAGGGUCGGGCCUGGUUAGUACUUGGAUGGGAAAAAUAUGCAUGGAGCUCCAUCAGUCUGGAUC
rnacentral:rRNA from 1 species